GAUGAAGAACGCAGCGAAAUGCGAUAAGUAAUGUGAAUUGCAGAAUUCAGUGAAUCAUCGAAUCUUUGAACGCACAUUGCGCCCGCCAGUAUUCUGGCGGGCAUGCCUGUUCGAGCGUCAUUACAACCCUCAGGCCCCCGGGCCUGGCGUUGGGGAUCGGCGGAAGCCCCCUGCGGGCACAACGCCGUCCCCCAAAUACAGUGGCGGUCCCGCCGCAGCUUCCAUUGCGUAGUAGCUAACACCUCGCAACUGGAGAGCGGCGCGGCCACGCCGUAAAACACCCAACUUCUGAACGUUUGACCUCGGAUCAGGUAGGAAUACCCGCUGAACUUAAGCAUAUCAAUAAGCGGAGGA
rnacentral:misc_RNA from 1 species